rfam:Angiostrongylus costaricensis strain Costa Rica genome assembly, scaffold: ACOC_scaffold0001436
CCAACGGCCCUCUUUAGGGCCACAUUAAUUGCUGUUUUGUGAUGUAG